UGGGGAAUAUUGCACAAUGGGCGCAAGCCUGAUGCAGCCAUGCCGCGUGUAUGAAGAAGGCCUUCGGGUUGUAAAGUACUUUCAGCGGGGAGGAAGGAAGUAAAGUUAAUACCUUUGCUCAUUGACGUUACCCGCAGAAGAAGCACCGGCUAACUCCGUGCCAGCAGCCGCGGUAAUACGGAGGGUGCAAGCGUUAAUCGGAAUUACUGGGCGUAAAGCGCACGCAGGCGGUUUGUUAAGUCAGAUGUGAAAUCCCCGGGCUCAACCUGGGAACUGCAUCUGAUACUGGCAAGCUUGAGUCUCGUAGAGGGGGGUAGAAUUCCAGGUGUAGCGGUGAAAUGCGUAGAGAUCUGGAGGAAUACCGGUGGCGAAGGCGGCCCCCUGGACGAAGACUGACGCUCAGGUGCGAAAGCGUGGGGAGCAAACAGG
rnacentral:rRNA from 1 species